CAGAAAUCUACCAUCUGGCUUUAAAAGGUACUUGCUUGACUGAAUUCUACCUCAAUCGUUCCUCCUUUCCUUUGCCAAAACUUCCCAUUUUUGUGGGUAGCCAAUAGAAGCAUUAAAAAUUCAGCCCAUCUAAAUUAAUAAUGUUUUACAAGGAUGUGGGACCCAAGUUCAUUUAUUAUUCUAUUCUCGAAUGACUUUAUACUAAAACCUUAAAACGGGAAUGCAUCCUGGAUAUAGUCAUUGAUAUCAUAAACUGGAUGUGUUCCAUGGCUUGCAUUGCAGACAAUUCAGUGUUUUGUGUAAUGAAUUGGAUGUACCACAUGGGAGUCUGUUGCAUAACAGGAGAUUAGGUAGUAUUGUACUUACAGAUUUUUGGAACAGUUGAAAGAAAUUCAAUUCUUCACAUCAUUCAAGAGAAAAAUUACCUUUUUAGCUUAAUAGUGAAGACUGAAAUAAAGAUUGACAAUUUUGGUUGGCAGUUCAAUCCAUCUUACCACUUUGAAUAUUUCUCUGCAAAGACAUUCAAAAAUGAUUGCAUACAUUUAUGACUUAAUUUGUUCAUUCUUGUGUUCAUUCCCCAAAUCAUAAUUGUGAUUUGGGGAAACUUAUUUGGCAAGGUGUAUUCUGGCUCAUUUUCUUAUUCUAAAAAUGGUUUCCAGAAAAGGAAGUGGUCGUCCAAACUAUAUU
rnacentral:lncRNA from 10 species